rnacentral:lncRNA from 1 species
CGGUGAAGGUGUUGGGGCGGUUGGUGGUGCCGCUCUGGAUGCCGGGGCCGUGGACGCGGACGCGCGCGGGGUCGCAGCCCUCGGUGACGGGGACGCGGAAGGGGCUGUGGGGCACGGCGCUGCCGCCGUACGUCACCUCCACCGUGUGCACGCCUGGGGGGGGCGCCCCAAAACCCGGUCAGGUGUCACCGGGGGGGACCCCAAACCCAGACCCCGGUUGGACGUCACUGGGAUGUCCCCAAACCCCAGUCGGAUGUCACCAGGGGGUCUCCAAACCCCAAACCCUGGUUAUAUGGACAGGGGGACAUCCCUGGGCCACCCCCGCUCCCCAAACCCCGGUGGGACGGAGACGGGGACGUCACCAGGGUGUCCCCAAACCCCAGUCAAUAUGGAUGGGGGGACGUCACUGGGAUGUCCCCAAAUCCCAAUUGGACAUCACCGGGGGGUCUCCAUACCCCAUAUCCCAGUCAUAUGGACAGGGGGACAGCCCUGGGCCACCCCCGUCCCCCAAACCCCGGUGGGACGGACAUGGGGACGUCACUGGGGUGUCCCCAAACCCCAAACCCUGGUCGGACGUCACCGGGGUGUCCCCAAACCCCAAUUGGACAUCACCGGGGGGUCUCCAUAUCCCGUUGGAUGGACACGGGGACGUCACUGGGGUGUCCCCAAACCCCAAACCCCGGUCAUAUG